GUCAAAUCAACUUGAAAUUGAUUUUGAUGAAUGUUUUGGAUGCUCUGAGGUGAAAUGGAUGUCUUUAGCUCAAAUAAAGAUGUGCUGCGUUUUCCUCUCUUGUUUGCUCUCUGCCGUUUUCUUUCUCUUGCUUCAACCUCUGUCUAACGAUGUCAUUUCCUUUUUCUCCAAUCAGGUCAAGCCCCAGAGGAGCUGCAAGUCUUUUAGGAUGGCAGCAGUCGAGUUUCUCAUCCGCACUGAACGAUGGAGGAGGAGGACGACGGAUUAACAAGAAGAAGAGUCAUCAGCAGCACGAGUAAAGCUGAUGCAACCUGCAGCGUCUGGAGGUGUGCUGAGGUGCUGCUUCUGUCCAAGAUGAUGAAGGUCUGCUCGGUUCCUUCCAACAACCCAAACCCACUCUGUCUGCAGGCGACAGGAGGAUCUCUGUGGACCACCGACAAGAGGAUUCAUCCCUCUCAAGUUACUCCGGUGCCAAAAAUGAUCAAUGCCAACUUGGUGUGUUUAUGGAGGCAUCCUCCUGGAGUCACUAUAAAUUUUUGGCAUCAUGUUAUCAUUGUUUUAAUGUCGUGAGUAUUUUAUUUAUUGUAUUAUAAACGUUACUAUUUUUAAAUUGAGUCUCCCUUUCAGAUUCAGUCAUGCUCGAGCUGCUGGUUUUGUAUGCUGUGCAUUAGAGGUCAUUGAGUGAACAGUGGGUGGUCCGUGGGCUGAAGGGUCUGGAAAGGUGUUGGAUAACAUCAUCAAACAAUAUUCUCAUGAUUCCAGGCAGAUCCUGUAGGCAGACUCUAAUCAAACACUGAGAAAUGCACAACUGAAUUGUUUAGUGCCACGCAAUAUGGUAUACACACACACACACACACACACAUACACUUUUAAUUUUCAUUAAGCCAGCUCAAUUGCUUCCGGUGAACUGUCAUCCCGUAACAAACCCGCCAUGUUUAGGAUCUGAUUUCUUUAAAGUCAAUGAUCUUCUCUGCCUGACUGAGAUACAAUAUAAGUAGGUCUCAGGCCAGACAAGAAGCACUGCAUUAAAUUAAUAUAUGAUUUCUUUCACCACAGCAUUUUCAAGGUAGUUUCUGCACUCAGCUGCUGCUCCUGAUGGCACUUUUUCCAUCUCAUUUUACGCUUUGAACAACUAAAUGAAUGCCUAAAUCUAUAACUGAUUAUAUUUUAAUAACAUUUCAACAUUGAUGCUGUAAAAGAAACUAAAUAACUUUGAAAAUAGUCACAUUAACCUCUUAGCGGAAGUAUAUUGGUGCCUGUAAAACCUUGCUGUGCAUAUAUACACCGAUGCAAAAGUUUUUACAUUUGUUUUAGCAACAUAUUAAAACCUGACUUUAAUCUCUUGAGUGUUGCUGAAUAUUGCACAUUGCAUAUUGUGGUCACA
rnacentral:lncRNA from 1 species